UGGCCCCCAAAUAAAGCCUAGAAGACACUU
rnacentral:piRNA from 1 species